rnacentral:lncRNA from 1 species
CAUGUAUUUGAGCCAAAGACAUAUUUUGGGACUAUUUUUUACAGCAGAUUGCUUACACUAAGUUCAAAGUUAGAGUACAUAUUGUCUAAAAACUAAUGCAAAUUUACAUUUUACUUUGAAAGAUACAGUGAGCAAUUAGAAUGAAUGUAUUAUUACAUUGUUAUUUUAUAACAUCAAGAUGAGGUUCUUCUUUGCUCUUAGGUCUUUCCCUAGUGUAUUUUCCCUAAAGUGGCAUAUUUCUAAUAUCCUCUGGAUCUAGAAAGUAAAGGGCAAAACAAAUCAACCAAUUUGCAUACUUAUGUUAUGAUAAGUAUUUAUGUUAUAAAUCUUAUGACAACUCAUGCUGCAAAUAGGAUUGAGAUAAUACAAGAUUUUAAUAAUGUUUCUCUCUUUCAUUUCACAAAGGAAGUAACUCAGAAUCCAGGAUGCUAGUCUUGUCUUUCCUUUAAUUUACCAUGAGAUUUUGGAGAUGACUUUGAAACAUUUAUGCAAUUGUGUUCUCUCAUCUAGGAAACAAGGACGAGAAUCUCUCUUCUGUUUACCCCUUUAAGGUUAUUGUAAAUUUAAAAAUAAGACAAUUUGCAAAAGUCUUUCAAAAAAUCACUAAAUGUGCCAUGACUUGCUGAAGAACUCUAUCAGAAACAAUACUUCAAGUUUCAGAAUACUUUAUCUCAGGUGUUUGUUUUUGCCAACACCAGAUAGUUGGAUGAGAUGUCUUUUGACCCUAUUCAAAGUUUGUGAUCAGAUGACAAUAACAUCUUCCCAUAAAGGAAUAUUUAGUUUUCUGUUCUCUAUAAAAAUCACUAUAUAAAUCUAACACUAUAUAGGCAUAGCAACUAGUUAGUUUUAAAAACAAACUCAUCACUUGGCUAGCCUAUUCCUACUAUAUAAUCAAUGUAUGGGUAUGAAUAUUGAUUAAUAGAAUCCAUCAAGAAAGAAGGCUAAUUCUCAAAAAUAAGUUUAUAACAAUUUCUUGUCUCCCUGCAUUUUCCAAAAAGGUCAAGUAAAAUUAAUGCAAAGAAUGGGAUCCCAGGAUAAACUGGAUCCAUUGUACAGAAUGAGCUCAGAAUAAAAU